rnacentral:rRNA from 1 species
UACGUAGGGGGCAAGCGUUGUCCGGAAUUAUUGGGCGUAAAGAGCGCGUAGGCGGUCCGAUAAGUCGGCUGUGAAAGUCGGGGGGCUCAACCCUCGAAUGCCGGUGGAUACUGUCGGGCUAGAGUACGGAAGAGGCGAGUGGAAUUCCUGGUGUAGCGGUGAAAUGCGCAGAUAUCAGGAGGAACACCAAUUGCGAAGGCAGCUCGCUGGGACGUUACUGACGCUGAGACGCGAAAGCGUGGGGAGCAAACAGG